GGCGGGGUAGCUCAGCUGGUUAGAGCGCACGACUCAUAAUCGUGAGGUCAGGGGAUCGAGCCCCCUCCCCGCUA
rfam:Kytococcus sp. HMSC28H12 Kytococcus_spHMPREF3099-1.0_Cont442.1, whole genome shotgun sequence.